rnacentral:rRNA from 1 species
GAUGAACGCUGGCGGCGUGCCUAAUACAUGCAAGUCGAACGAAACUUCUUUAUCACCGAGUGCUUGCACUCACCGAUAAAGAGUUGAGUGGCGAACGGGUGAGUAACACGUGGGCAACCUGCCCAAAAGAGGGGGAUAACACUUGGAAACAGGUGCUAAUACCGCAUAACCAUAGUUACCGCAUGGUAACUAUGUAAAAGGUGGCUAUACUACCGCUUUUGGAUGGGCCCGCGGCGCAUUAGCUAGUUGGUAGGGUAAAGGCUUACCAAGGCAAUGAUGCGUAGCCGAAUUGAGAGGUUGAUCGGCCACAUUGGGACUGAGACACGGCCCAAACUCCUACGGGAGGCAGCAGUAGGGAAUCUUCCACAAAGGGCGAAAGCCUGAUGGAGCAACGCCGCGUGGGUGAAGAAGGUCUUCGGAUCGUAAAACCCUGUUGUUAGAGAAGAAAGUGCGUGAGAGUAACUGUUCACGUUUCGACGGUAUCUAACCAGAAAGCCACGGCUAACUACGCG